rnacentral:rRNA from 1 species
UCGAGAAUUUUUGGCAAUGGGCGAAAGCCUGACCAAGCGAUGCCGCGUGCGGGAUGAAGGCCUUCGGGUUGUAAACCGCUGUCAGUGGGGAGGAAAGCUUUGUGAAGAGCAAGGCUUGACCUAUCCGCAGAGGAAGUGUGGGCUAAGUUCGUGCCAGCAGCCGCGGUAAGACGAACCACACAAACGUUAUUCGGAAUUACUGGGCUUAAAGGGUGCGUAGGCUGCGCAGAAAGUUGGGUGUGAAAUACCUCGGCUCAACCGAGGAACUGCGCCCAAAACUACUGUGCUCGAGGAAGAUAGAGGUGAGCGGAACUUACGGUGGAGCGGUGAAAUGCGUUGAUAUCGUAAGGAACACCUGUGGCGAAAGCGGCUCACUGGGUCUUUUCUGACGCUGAUGCACGAAAGCUAGGGGAGCAAACGGGAUUAGAUACCCCCGUAGUCC